rnacentral:lncRNA from 1 species
GGGAGGGGGAGGAGGAUGCACUGCAUUUGAGCCCCGAUCUGCAUCCACCACCCCCUCACCCGUACCCCCAGCCUGCCCCCCUCCAUUCUCACCACUGGGGCUGUGAGGAGAGUGGGGAUCCCUGCGUAACGCAUCCCCCCAAAUCUUGCAUCUCCUAAAAACCCAUUCUCCCCGGCUGCUUUUUAUUGCUAACCUCCACUUGCUUUGCCUCUCCUUCCCUCCCUCCCUCCCCUCCAUCUCCCUCCCUCCCUCUCUCUGGGGGGAAAAAAGGUCAUUGCGCAAAUGAUUAGUCAGAGCUCAGUUGCUGUAGCAACCGGCUGCUGGAACUGGGACAGGCGUGCAGCGAGGACAACGGAGAGGUCGACCAUCAGCGAGGGCUGGGGAGCCCAGCCUUUGUAUUUGCUUUCAAGAGCCGGGGAGCGAGGCGGUGCGAAGCCCCCUGCCCCACGCCACGCACGGGGCCGCUUCCCCGCAUCGACCCCGAGCUGCUUGGCUGCGGUUUGCAACCGGCUGGCAUCUCUUGCCUGCUCGGAGCCGCCGUUCCGAUGCCACCGCGGUACCGUCCCUCGUGGCCGUGCCUCUGCUCGGGGCGGCUUCCUCCCCCCGGUUGUGGGUUCAGGGCUCCGUGUCCUCUUGCGACAUCCUGCAUGGGAAACACAAAGCCAAGUUCCUCCUCAUCCGGCACGAGGAACCGGGCGUUCACCGCACCCUGCUUCUUCCCAGUUCCGGACUGCUAUGGCGUGUUUGCUUUUGGCCCCCGAGCAGCUGCAAGCAGAGACAUCUCCCGGUUCUUCUCCUGCCCCAAACUCGAGGACAGCAGCUCUAUGUGCAAUGCCCGCGAGCUGCUUGGCCUUGGAGGACAGGGAGAGGGCUCCCGUGGGGCAGGUCAGCCCAUGUGUGUGGUGAUUUUCACCAUAGGAUCAUUGAGGUUGGAAAAGACCUCUCAGAUCCCCGAGUCCAACCCCAACCCGCCCCACCACGGGGCCAUGCUUACUGCUGGGGCUCAUGGAAAAGCACAGAGGAGGAGCCAGGUGUUGCAGCAGCCUAAAGUAGAUAGAAGUACAGCUGGGGAGUGGAUGGGACACCUCAACAGAGGCACUUUUGGUGGAGUUGCGUGGGCUUUGGAUGGGAUUUCAGGGAUGUCUUUGGCCUCCUGCUCAAGGUUUUCCCAAAGCCUGUUUUCUGGUUGCGUAGGGUUUGCUUGUUUGAGAGUCCUCACCGUAGGUUGGCAGAGAGGGAGACAUAAGGGUGUCCUAAAGGCUUGGGAGCCAACAGGGAAAUAAAAACAAGCCAACUGUUCUCCUUUCAUUUUCGCUUGCAAAUCUUAGUAUUUUAAAGGCUGUUCCCUGAUUUUUUCCAGAGUCUGGAAACCUUUAGGAGAUCUGAAUACUUGGAGUUGACUGCAUUCUUUCUGUGUGUUUUUCACCUUCAAUGCUAGCGCUGUAUUUUCCUUUAGAGAUGCUAAAUAAAAUGUGCAGCUCCGGUCCAGCUGACUAAUAUUUCAGGUUAUCAAAAAUGACAACGAAGGAAGGAAAGACCUCCAGGAGGGGGACAAAAAUCCAUGUGAGUCACUCAGACAAUCUGAGCCUGAAACCACAAAAUAGGGCCGCCCCAUUGCAAUGGGUUGGGAGAUCGUCACCAUCCUUUGGGCUAUGGGGCUGCCUGGUCCCCAGGCCAUCAGGGCUGCGUAUUUCUGCAGCUCCAUCCUUGCUCCCAGAGGACCCCCCGGGUACCUCAAUCUGUGUGGGUAGUGCUGGUGGUUCCUGGGUGGUUUGGGCACACUUUGGGGCUGGGAGGGAGCACUGAGGUCUUUUUUUUUCCCCACAAAUAACAUAUGAGAGACUUCAAUUGGGCUGUGCUAUCUGUGAUGGUUUGGGAGCACACUCACGGCUGUGUGACAGCUCGCUAAUCGGAAGGGGCAGAGCCAGGGAUGUCCCAUCCAGGUGGGAUGCCCAGCUGAUGGGUCUGCUGCAGGCUGGGCGUUGAUGGUGCUCCAGGAGGGACCUGUGAGGAAAUCCACCACCAAACUACACAGAGCCCUGCCCUGUGUGAGUAGUUCAGUGCACUUAAAAGCUUCUGGCCGUUCAGUUCCUCUGUGCGAGAUGGCUUCUUUCUUGUGGGCAGGAGAGAAACCAGCCAGAGAGCAGCCAAGGGAGCGCCUGAUGCUGCUGGGUGCCAAUGGGGGGAGGCCUGGCUGCCUUUUGGCCAUCCCAGUGCUUCUGUUUGGCCCUCCUGACACGAGCCCUAAAAGCACAGAGACAAUCGGCUCAUGGUGAUGCGAGAGACAGCCCUGACACGACCCUGUGACAGUAGUAAGGAACAGAACAUCCACGUGGAACCGAGCCCCAAGCCGGCACGUGGGGGGAUGACGCAGCAAAGCGCUAAAGCAACACUUUGAGAACUGAGAAGGGCACGGUCUGAGCCUCCCCUCAACCCCACACCUCCCAACGCUGCCGUAAAAUCUGUGCUGAAAAAGGACCAGCAAAUACCAGCCUCCUCCUCCUCCUCCUCGUCCCAUCGCUCCCUCUUUGGGCACAGCGAUUCCGGCUCCGUCCCCUCACCUGAGGGCUGUGCUGAGCGUCCCCACCUGCAGUGGCUGCUCGUCCCAUCCCGGUGCUGCCAUCCCAUCUCCUGCAGGACAGACCCUGUGCCAAGCGUAGGGCGCAGCAUCUGUCCUCAUCCAGGAGCACUGUGGAGCCGUGGCUACGGAGCCGUGCCUUUCGGUCACCAGCUGGUGCCUUUGUGUUGCCCAUACGUGUUCAGUGAUGCAGGAGGAGAUCUUUGGGAUGCUGUGGGGUUGGUCUGAUGUCGGGCAUGAGCCUCGCUGGGUUCCUCCCUCGUUAUCCAUCUCUUUAAGCAUCUGAGACCCUCAGUGCCUCAGUUUCCCCACACGUGUCUGUAACAGUGGGCACAGCUCCCUGAGCCACCCAUAGGCUCUGUGCUCCAGUCCCCAUCUCACAGGACACAGUGCUGGGCCACGAUGCCAAUCUCUGCAGUCCCAACCUCCACACACCCAGAAGGCAUUGAGGAGCACUGCGGCAUCCCCCACCUGUGUGCCUUGUCCCAGCUUGGGGUCAGUGCCAGUGGGUGCUCUGAGCCCACCCUGAGCCCCAUCCCUGUGCUGGUGGGGCAUUUCCACGUCCUUCUGGUGAACCAGCUCAUGACUCCCAUGGUUAAUGUUUGCCUUAACCCCUCUUUCCACACAUUGAUUUGUAUUUGCAUCAUGCCCUGGCCACGGUGCUCAGGAACGCAGGGUGCUUGCAGGGCUCCCCCCACGAGCAGCAGUGUCCCCCAGCCAUGGCUAAGGUCAUUCUUCAUGGGUUUCCCAGCAGCACUGGGGCCUCCAUCCUUUCUCUCCCAUUUAAUCCCAUGAAUUAAACACCGCCUUCACCGCGGAGCGCCGAGCGGUGCCGGCGUAAUGUCCAAGUUUUACGACUUGCCUUGAAGGCACCUAUCGAUUGGGGUCCUCUCUGGAUGAUGGAGCUUUUAGUGCAUCCUGGGCUGUCCGAGCAGGGCUGGAUCCUCAGCCCACGGGGCUCAGCCGCGCCGUGCCGUCACGUCCCCGUGCCCCAUCUCCAUGGGUCCCAUGGGGAGGCGGCAGGCGGGGCCCUCAGUGCCCACACGGCGCCUUUAAGAAGCCCACAACCAGCUCCAGGAACACGAGCUCAAGGUCACAGUGGGAAACCUGCGGACUUGGCAGCGAGGAGAGGAGAGGAGAGCGGGCGGAGGGGAGGAGGAGGGAGGAGGGAAGCAGCUGGGGAUAAAACCCAAAUUCUGGCGGGGAAGAGGGGACGGAGGGGAGCGGGGAGGUGAGGUGCAGGGGGGUCCCACCCAGGGGUGCCUAACUGUGGCACCUUGAGGCCCUGUGCCGCAUCCCCCGGCGCGGCACCCGGACGCCCUCUGGGAGGUUUGGGGUUACCGAAGGCACCGGGAAUGAGGCGGCUGCUCCUGGUCUGGGUUUGGAGAUGCCCGUUUUUAAUUUUCAUCAGCAGAAUUAAUCUGCGGAGCUGCUCCCCCCCCCCCCCCCCCCCCCCCUCCUCCUCCCCUCCCCUUCCUUUCCUCACUGGUUUCGACGGAGAAUUUGAUCACUUCUCCCAGGAGCUCGGCACCAUUAACAUUCACUCCUGGCGCGCACGAGCCGCGCUGCAUCGCCAAGCGCAUCGCCAGCUGUGGGCUGUGGGCUGUGGGCACCUCGACCCCCAUCAGCAGCCCCAGCCCUUGGCCUGGCACCAUCCUCACCCCCACCGAGCCGGGGAGGGGCUGCUUUAUUUCUGUGUCCGCUCCCCCGUAGAAAAAUGAAGGGCACAGCAUAGGAUCAGUGGGUGCUGCCCUUCUCCUGCUUCCAGCCAGCCUUGGGCUCGGAUCUGGAGGUGUCCGGAGGGUCGUGGCCUCAGGGUUUGCUCUGCAGCUGCUGGGACACCUGGGGCUGUCCAAUAUGAUGGAAACCAGAAAGCACUCCGGGGGUAGGAUCCAAAUCUUGCACCAUUUCACAUUUUAAGGGAUGCCAAGUGGUCACCCUGGGCUGCCCCAGAGUUGCAUAAAGUUGUGGACUUUUUUUUUCUUUAAUAAAGGUUAAUAAAGAAUUAACUCCUUAUUGCUGUUAUUAUUACUCCAUCACUGUCACUAUCACUAUUACCAUUACCAUUGCUAUUACUAUUGCCAUUGCUGCUAUUGCUGUUGUUGCUGCUAUUGCUAUAACUAUUGCUAUUUCUAUUGCUACUAUUCCCAUUUCCAUUUCUAUUCCCAUUCCUGUUCUCAUUCCUCUUCCUCUUCCCAUUCCUAUUCCUAUUCCCAUUCCCAUUCUCAUUCCUGUUCCCAUCCGUAUUCCCAUUCCCAUUCCUAUUCCAAUUCCAAUUCCUAUUCCAAACCGCUGCCCCUUGCAUGACAUACAGUUUCCCUGACACCAGCACAGUCCCAGCUGGGACGAUGCCCUCUGGCCCCGAGGUGCCCCCUGUGCUGCAGCAGCAGCAGGAGCUCCAUCAUCCCCUCCACCAGUGUGAGGCUGCAUCCUCCCCAUGUACAAAUGAAGCCCAUUUUUCUCCUUUCUGGCUGUGGCCCCACGCACUGAGCCCAGCCAUGCUGCUCCUCGAGGGCACGGAGCCAUUCACCGAAGCGAGAAGCCGAACGCUUUCUUUUUAGCCUCGCUUUAACAAGUAUUAAUUAACAAGAGAGUAAACACUAAUCCCAAAAUGACACAAACUGUGUCGCUUGAAACGAAUGUUUGGGAGCUGUCUGUGCUGGGAUUUACAGCUGCAUGGGUUAAUGGGUGCUAAAUCAUUGCUCAGGCUGCAAGGAGAAGCCGAGCUGGAGAGGGGCUGGGUGUGCUGCUCAGCCUGGCAUCGGCUGCACGGGGUGCUGGGGCUGUGCUGGGCUGUGCCAUGCCAUGACCUCCUCUGGUAGGAGGUGUGGAUCCGCUCAAUGCUUGGAGCAAUGGUGCCCCCACCCAGCAAUGGCUUUAACCAUAGAGCGCUGCAAGAGCGACCAGAGAGUCACCCUUGCCUACAGCCAACCUCCAACCCUUGUGGGCUCAGGGGAGGCUGGGGGCUGAAGGCAGGGACUCAGCGUCUUGAGAGGGGCCCGGAGAGGCAGGCACUCAGCACAGAUCCAGGCCGGGUUUUCUUCCUUCUUCCUCCUCUAUCGUGCAGACUGGGGAGCUGCUGCCUGUGCACAUGCUGCUCCAGUCAGUCCUGCUCCAGGCUGAGCUGCACAGCCAGCGUGAGCCGGCGCUGGGAACUGGGAAACAGCUUCAUGUGCACACUGCAUCCUCCCUGUGCACACACUGCAUCCUCUCACUGCACACUGCAUCCUCCCUGUGCACACACUGCAUCCUCUCACUGCGCACUGCAUCCUCCCUGUGCACACAUUGCAUCCUCCCCAACAUGCUCACUGCACAUUGACUGGGGCAGGACCACAACAACGCAUGGUCCUCCAUUCCCCCCAUGCCGGGAGGGCUCCCCUUCAUCCCAUGUGCUCAGCCCCAUUUCAGGAGGGCUGGGGAGGGCUGUGGGGGCUGCAGGGCUGGAAGCCCC